UGCGCAGGCGGUUUUGUAAGUCAGAUGUGAAAUCCCCGGGCUUAACCUGGGAACUGCAUUUGAGACUGCAAGGCUAGAGUGUGGCAGAGGGGGGUAGAAUUCCACGUGUAGCAGUGAAAUGCGUAGAGAUGUGGAGGAAUACCGAUGGCGAAGGCAGCCCCCUGGGCCAAUACCGACGCUCAUGCACGAAAGCGUGGGGAGCAAACAGGAUUAGAUACCCUGGUAGUCCACGCCCUAAACGAUGUCAACUAGGUGUUGGAGGGGUUAAACCCUUUAGUGCCGUAGCUAACGCGUGAAGUUGACCGCCUGGGGAGUACGGCCGCAAGGCUAAA
rnacentral:rRNA from 1 species